rnacentral:rRNA from 1 species
UACAGAGGUGGCAAGCGUUGUUCGGAAUUACUGGGCGUAAAGGGCGAGUAGGUGGCCAUCUAAGUCAGACGUGAAAUCCCCCGGCUUAACCUGGGAACUGCGUCUGAUACUGGACGGCUUGAGUAUGGGGAGAGGGAUGUAGAAUUCCAGGUGUAGCGGUGAAAUGCGUAGAUAUCUGGAGGAAUACCGGUGGCGAAGGCGGCAUCCUGGACCAUUUACUGACACUGAUCCGCGAAAAGCUAGGGGAGCAAACGGG